CCUACGGGAGGCAGCAGUGAGGAAUAUUGGUCAAUGGGCGAGAGUCUGAACCAGCCAAGUAGCGUGAAGGAUGACUGCCCUAUGGGUUGUAAACUUCUUUUAUAUGGGAAUAAAAUGUUCCACGUGUGGGAUUUUGUAUGUACCAUAUGAAUAAGGAUCGGCUAACUCCGUGCCAGCAGCCGCGGUAAUACGGAGGAUCCGAGCGUUAUCCGGAUUUAUUGGGUUUAAAGGGAGCGUAGGUGGAUUGUUAAGUCAGUUGUGAAAUUUUGCGGCUCAACCGUAAAAUUGCAGUUGAAACUGGCAGUCUUGAGUACAGUAGAGGUGGGCGGAAUUCGUGGUGUAGCGGUGAAAUGCUUAGAUAUCACGAAGAACUCCGAUUGCGAAGGCAGCUCACUGGACUGCAACUGACACUGAGGCUCGAAAGUGUGGGUAUCAAACAGGAUUAGAUACCCGUGUAGUC
rnacentral:rRNA from 1 species